CAAUAGCGUAUAUUAAAGCUGUUGCGGUUAAAAAGCUCGUAGUUGGAUUUCUGUCAAGGACAGCUGGUCCGCCCUCCGGGUGAGUACAUAGCUUGGUCUUGGCAUCUUGUUGGAAAUUGUUGCUGCGCUUGGUUGUGUGGUGCAGUUUCCAGCACAUUCACUUUGAGGAAAUUGGAGUGUUUCAAGCAGGCACAAGCCUUUGGACACAGUAGCAUGGAAUAAUUAGAUUGGGCUUUUGCUCCAACUUGUCGGUUCCUGGAGCUGAGGUGAGACUCAAUGGGGAUUGUUGGGGGCAUCUGAAUUUAGCCGUCAGAGGUGAAAUUCUUGGAUUUAUGAAAGAUUAACUUCAGCGAAAGCAUUUGUCAAGGAUGUUUUCAUUAA
rnacentral:rRNA from 1 species